rnacentral:lncRNA from 1 species
GACAGUUUCGAUAUUGAUAUAGAUAUAGAUAUAUUUUUUUUUUCUGGUGCCAUAACAUAAGUCUAUACUUAUAUAUAUAUCCGUGAUGAUAUCGACGUAUGGUGUGUUUAAUGAGUAGAUAAUAAAAGCAAGACAAUGUUUUAGUGAAAGUGGUGAAAAAAAGUAAAGAGAAAAAUGGAAAUAAAGGCGGAGGAAUCCAAGAGUGUUGUGUAUUAUAUUAUAUUAUAUAUUAUAAACUGAAAAUUGUCAACAAUGUUACAGGAAACUGCCAGCUAGUGUAUAAGACCGAGAUAUAAAGGCUCUUACGAUUUCGGAUUGAUGAUAGGAGUGACGAAGGAGAGCAAGGGCUACAAAAAUGUAGAAUAAAGAAGUAAAUGCAGUCUGGAAAAGGAUUUAGAGAAAAGCACAAUUCUAUCAACGGCUUAACACAUUAAUCGCUGCAAAGAAAAGAAGAGUGCGGGUGAGCACUUACAUGCUCCGGUGGCAAUGCUUUAAAAUCUUGUCAUCGUCAUGAUAUCUCCAGUGCAAAUGAAAUAUGGAAGAGGUCUGUCGCCGGCCCAUUAAUACUCAUUUGACAUUUUUGGGCACCGAUGGUUAUUUUACCUGAAGAAUUAUUCGCUCAUUGUUCAUUUAAGACUAUCGCAAUGAUCACAGUGGAAGUGGUGCACAAUUUCUUGAUAAACUCUUUUGACUUCAAUCGACAUGAAGCACUUUUCCACAACCACAGUUUGGGUACAUUUGCUUCGAAGAACAAUCAAUUGGUCAACACGGUUUUACAGAGUGUCGAGUAUCCCAUGGAUCAGUUCUGAAAGUUCAGAAGAAAAAUGUUUCUAGAUUGAUUGACGUAGAGAGGAUUUUGUCCGAGCUGUUUGGUCAUUUUUUCGUCUUUCUUCGCUCGUACUGCUCUUGCCAAGACACAACCCACAACUAAGCCAGUAUCCGAGGUCAACGCGAUUCCAGAACUGCUGUAAUAAUUCAAAGCCCGGACGUUGAAUAUAGGGUUUUGUCCAAUGCCAAUUUUUAUUCUCAAAUUCCUCAGCCGCGUUUAUUCCCUUACACGAAUUAGUUGAUAAUGGAAAUUAUUGCAAUCAUGGAUUUUAAACUCAUCAAAAUUCUCGAUUUUUUCGCAUUGUUUUUCUCCAAUUGCAGCGUUUGAUCCUCGGAAUCAUCAAAUCGACGGUAAACAAAAUCCCAAAGCAGUAUUGUUGCUGAUUAGAAAUAAUGGACUCGUUAUUAAAACAACUUUGAUGUAUAAUAAAACGAUUUUUC